UGAGGAAUAUUGGUCAAUGGACGCAAGUCUGAACCAGCCAUGCCGCGUGAAGGAUGAAGGCGUUCUGCGUUGUAAACUUCUUUUAUUGGGGAAGAAACCUGAGAUUUCUAUUACAGCCGACGGUACCCAAGGAAUAAGCACCGGCUAACUCCGUGCCAGCAGCCGCGGUAAUACGGAGGGUGCAAGCGUUAUCCGGAUUUACUGGGUUUAAAGGGUGUGUAGGCGGACUAUUAAGUCAGGGGUGAAAUCCCGGGGCUCAACCCCGGAACUGCCUUUGAUACUAUUAGUCUUGAAUCUUGUUGAGGUGGGCGGAACGGGUCAUGUAGCGGUGAAAUGCAUAGAUAUGACCCGGAACACCGAUUGCGAAGGCAGCCCGCUAAGCAAGUAUUGACGCUGAGGCACGAAAGCGUGGGGAUCAAACAGGAUUAGAUACCCCUGUAGUCC
rnacentral:rRNA from 1 species